rnacentral:rRNA from 1 species
AGUGAACGCUGGCGGUAGGCCUAACACAUGCGAGUCGAACGGCAGCACAGUAAGAGCUUGCUCUUACGGGUGGCGAGUGGCGGACGGGUGAGGAAUACAUCGGAAUCUACUUUUUCGUGGGGGAUAACGUAGGGAAACUUACGCUAAUACCGCAUACGACCUACGGGUGAAAGCAGGGGAUCUUCGGACCUUUCGCGAUUGAAUGAGCCGAUGUCGGAUUAGCUAGUUGGCGGGGUAAAGGCCCACCAAGGCGACGAUCCGUAGCUGGUCUGAGAGGAUGAUCAGCCACACUGGAACUGAGACACGGUCCAGACUCCUACGGGAGGCAGCAGUGGGGAAUAUUGGACAAUGGGCGCAAGCCUGAUCCAGCCAUACCGCGUGGGUGAAGAAGGCCUUCGGGUUGUAAAGCCCUGUUGUUGGGAAAGAAAAGCAGCAGGUUAAUACCCCGCUGUUCUGACGGUACCCAAAGAAUAAGCACCGGCUAACUUCGUG